UAAGGAUUAAAAAGUAAGGGAAAAAUGAUAGGGCUAGGCCACAUCUGGAUUUGUUUUGGGGCACAUUUUUCCCAUGAAACAAACCAAACACGCCCUAAAAAGAAAACAUCCGCAAAAAUUGAGUGCCAAAUUCGCUCCCAAAGCUGAUUCGAAACAGCCGCCGUCGCCGCCGCCGCUGCCGGAGACAUCUCCUCCAGAGCUCGCUGCUUUCAAUCUCAGACUGAAUUAAAUUGCAGGAAGGAGCUACAUUAAUUUGAGGCUGCUCUCGAUUGGUCAUGUCUGAAUAUUACUAUACAUGAGCUUCCUCUUUCUCCACGUUGGUUACUUCAUCCACCUGUAGGUAUCUUGAAGUUUUGUGUCUUUCAGAUACAUCCUCAACUGCCAAAUAUUGCUUGUUAAGACUUAAGACUCUCAGACACAAGGAUUUUUUUGUUGGGUAUGGCCUUGUGAUUGCACAAUUACACAAGAUGAAGAGUAAUAUCAAAUCGACGUUAGCACUAAAAGCUCUUACUAGAUGGAAGAUUUGAGGUUUCUUUGAUAAUGGAUUCAAGUCUAUGUAUUGUCUUAUGCCUUGCCUUGUGCCUUGCUAUCUUUCACACCUCCCUUAUGUUCCACGAUUGUAAUAAAAAGUUCUGUUUAGAGCAAUGAUUAGAUUGGGUUUAUAUGCCUGCAUAUGGAUGCAUAUUAUUUUGUUAACAAAAUUUAGCUACGGUUAACAUUUUCUUUUGAAUUUACAUACAUCUGAUUGCUUUCUGUUCAUAUCAACUCCUUGGGCAGAUUGGACACCUUCUCAAUGUCCUUAAGAUGAAAUUAAUGAAGAAAGUGUGGGACAUAUGCCAGAACAAAAGGGAAAAUAAGGAGUUACUUCUAGAUUUUGAUAAGGCCUUGUGAGGAUUGGAUGUGUCAAUGGUCAGCCUCAUAGCAACAGGGGGAGCAAGGGGAAAUAGAUGAACAAGGAGCUAUCUGUAUUUGUGAGAAAAGAUAUUCUCUCUCAGGACCAAAUAAUUUCUUCUAGUUACACUUAGUUGUGUCCCUUUUUUUCUUUUAUGUACAUUAUUCAUAAUGUCACAACUUGUCAUAUCCAUUAGUCAUGUCCCUUUUUUUCUUUUAUGUACAUUAGUCGUGUCCCUUUUUUUCUUUUAUGUACAUUAUUCAUAAUGUCACAACUUGUCAUAUCCAUUACCUGUUCCUAUGGUCUUCAGGUCUUGGUUUUGGGCCACAACUGAUCCCUAGGCUUUGGAUUUUGUACUAGUCCCAAUUUGUGGUAGUUAUUGAACGAAUCGAUCUUUUUGAGUAUCUUUCUUUUCUAAAUUUUAAGUUAUCUCAUAAAGGUUUCACAUCUUAGUUAUCAUAGGUGUAGGAGAAUUUAAUUAUGAUCACCGGACAUUCUACCAUUCUCAAUUAGCAUGCAAUUUUUUUUCCUUUCUGAUACGAGUUAGCUGACAAGCUUAGAGAAUGAGCUCAUGAACAUGAAGAAUGUCUGAGAGAUUCUUCAGCGAGAAGAACCAUUAAGAGGUCCCAGAUUGUGACCCUUGAGGGUGUAAUUUCAAAGGAGGUCUGAAGAUUGCUAAUACAUGGCAUGUGUGCAGUAGACAAUAAAAUAAUAUGUGUGUAGGAGCAAGAACUGUUUAAAUCAGAGAAUCAUUAUAUGGCCACAACUUUCACGAUUAAGAAAGUGAAUCACAUGCGUUUCAAACCUAGCCAUUACAACACAUUAUAGGUCUUUGACCCAAUGUACAACAUAACAGAGGGAUAAUGCUGAAGUAACCACCACUGAGGUAUAAAACCCCCUCACCAUGGAGAGGAAGAUACGUAUAACUAAAGACUAAUUUAGAUGUUGGCAAUAACUCUGUUGAGUCUGUGUUUUUGCUAAUCUGGAUGGAUUUUAUUGGUUGUAUUGUCUUUCUAGUCCAAAAAAUAUAUCAGUGCUUUCUAUAUUGAUCAAACGGAUAAGGGAGCAUGCCGACACCACCCCUGCUCCCAACUCGUCUCCUGAUAAGCUAUGUGACAUCAUGUUAUUUAUGAAUGACUUUUCUUUUCUCAUAUUGGUUAUGAUAUAUGCUAACUCAUUGUUUUCUAUUUCUGCGGAUAUGCGCCACUCAAGGAGAUAGAGAAUCCAAAUUUUGGAGAUAGUAACCAAGAACAAUGGGAACUGAAGUUAUGAUCGAAGGGAGUGCAGUUUGCAAAUUUUGGAUUGUGGUAGGAUCAAUUUUUGGAUGGCUUAUUAUCUAGAUGUCAUGGGGAUUUUGGAGGACAUGUCACUUAAGAGUGACGUAAUGCUCUGCAAGGGUCCACUAAGAGGAAGGAUCAACUAUUAUUUAGAGCCAUGGUGCUAGGAUCCAAUCAACAAUUGAUGCAGCCGACUCAGGAUCGAGCUCUUUUCAGAUCUCAAUAGUUGCCAAUGAUGAAGUUUCCAUCAUUCAUCUAUAGCUAGAGGAAGAUAAAGCUUGUGCAUUUAGGACUGAUAGGAUGUAUGAAUCCUAAAAACAAGUCGAUCCAGUCCAUGGUGCAACACUGCAGCACCGAAAAAAUGGGCAAAACAGUCAUCAAUGCUUUAUCCUUUUAUAAUACUGGUGUAAUUCAUUGCUGAGGCAGCGCUGAAGUAAAUAAAGCCAUACAUAUUAACAACUUUAUAUGCAAUAACAUUCAGGAGAGAAGAUUGCUUAUUUGCAUCCGCAAAUUUUAAGCUGAAGGAAGCAAAGCCAUCAAGCCAGUUGCAGAAGGGAAUGCAUCGUACUGACAUUAAUGUAAGUAUAUAUGAAAUAUUUGGGAAAUCCUUCUGUAGACAAAAAAAUAAAAUAAAAUCAUACAGGAAAUGUAGAGUGGACAUUUUUCUUAUCAAAUUCUCUGAAUAUCUAAAUGAUGCUGAACACUUCAACAAAGGCAGUUUGUAGCAUCUGAAUUUUCUAUGUCAUAACUUGCUGCCCUUUAGCGGGUACCAUAGACUACUUAUAUCUUCAAAUAAUUUAGAUCAAGUGAAAGCUACUGAUGAAAGGAAUCAAAUUUGUAUGGUUUUGGUUGUUGAUUCCUAACGGCAAUUUCAAAGAAUUGGGUCUCCUGUGAUCUUUCCUUACAUUUUGUCCUCCAGAAUAAACAAAGUAGCAUGACAAGCUCUUGUGAUCUUUUAAUGGCAUUUUGCAAAUUAAUUCUCCUGUUCGUACAUCUGAUGACAUCUAUUUUGUUCCUUUUCUUCACACUGUGCCGUCUGAUAGGAUUAUUAACUUGUG